rnacentral:pre_miRNA from 14 species
UUCCAGGCCUGAAUAUGCAUCUGAAAGAUCCCCAAAGGGAGACCCUUACUCAAGUCUUGGGAAAUCGCGGACCCCAGACACAGAGAGACCA